rnacentral:rRNA from 1 species
AGCGUACACGGUGGAUGCCCUGGCAGUCAGAGGCGAUGAAGGGCGUGCUAAUCUGCGAUAAGCGCCGGUAAGGUGAUAUGAACCGUUAUAACCGGCGAUACCCGAAUGGGGAAACCCAGUGUGAUUCGUCACACUAUCAUUAACUGAAUCCAUAGGUUAAUGAGGCGAACCGGGGGAACUGAAACAUCUAAGUACCCCGAGGAAAAGAAAUCAACCGAGAUUCCCCCAGUAGCGGCGAGCGAACGGGGAGGAGCCCAGAGCCUGAAUCAGCAUGUGUGUUAGUGGAAGCGUCUGGAAAGGCGCGCGAUACAGGGUGACAGCCCCGUACACAAAAGCGCAUGUGCUGUGAGCUCGAUGAGUAGGGCGGGACACGUGGUAUCCUGUCUGAAUAUGGGGGGACCAUCCUCCAAGGCUAAAUACUCCUGACUGACCGAUAGUGAACCAGUACCGUGAGGGAAAGGCGAAAAGAACCCCGGCGAGGGGAGUGAAAAAGAACCUGAAACCGUGUACGUACAAGCAGUGGGAGCCCCACCACCAAAGCGUUUCGCUUUGUGUGGUGCACAAAGAAGCGUAACGACAGCACUGAAUGACGGUUAACGGAGCGCAAGCGACGUUCAACAUACAAAGUCAAGCAGUGGAGCGCUUUGGGGUGGGGUGACUGCGUACCUUUUGUAUAAUGGGUCAGCGACUUAUAUUCUGUAGCAAGGUUAACCGAAUAGGGGAGCCGGAGGGAAACCGAGUCUUAACCGGGCGUUAAGUUGCAGGGUAUAGACCCGAAACCCGGUGAUCUAGCCAUGGGCAGGUUGAAGGUUGGGUAACACUAACUGGAGGACCGAACCGACUAAUGUUGAAAAAUUAGCGGAUGACCUGUGGCUGGGGGUGAAAGGCCAAUCAAACCGGGAGAUAGCUGGUUCUCCCCGAAAGCUAUUUAGGUAGCGCCUCGUGAAUUCAUCUCCGGGGGUAGAGCACUGUUUCGGCUAGGGGGCCAUCCCGGCUUACCAACCCGAUGCAAACUGCGAAUACCGGAGAAUGUUAUCACGGGAGACACACGGCGGGUGCUAACGUCCGUCGUGAAGAGGGAAACAACCCAGACCGCCAGCUAAGGUCCCAAAGUCAUGGUUAAGUGGGAAACGAUGUGGGAAGGCCCAGACAGCCAGGAUGUUGGCUUAGAAGCAGCCAUCAUUUAAAGAAAGCGUAAUAGCUCACUGGUCGAGUCGGCCUGCGCGGAAGAUGUAACGGGGCUAAACCAUGCACCGAAGCUGCGGCAGCGACGCUUAUGCGUUGUUGGGUAGGGGAGCGUUCUGUAAGCCUGUGAAGGUGGCCUGUGAGGGUUGCUGGAGGUAUCAGAAGUGCGAAUGCUGACAUAAGUAACGAUAAAGCGGGUGAAAAGCCCGCUCGCCGGAAGACCAAGGGUUCCUGUCCAACGUUAAUCGGGGCAGGGUGAGUCGACCCCUAAGGCGAGGCCGAAAGGCGUAGUCGAUGGGAAACGGGUUAAUAUUCCCGUACUUGGUGUUACUGCGAAGGGGGGACGGAGAAGGCUAUGUUGGCCGGGCGACGGUUGUCCCGGUUUAAGCGUGUAGGUGUGUGUUCCAGGUAAAUCCGGUUCACUUUAACACUGAGGCGUGACGACGAGGCACUACGGUGCUGAAGCAACAAAUGCCCUGCUUCCAGGAAAAGCCUCUAAGCAUCAGGUAACAUCAAAUCGUACCCCAAACCGACACAGGUGGUCAGGUAGAGAAUACCAAGGCGCUUGAGAGAACUCGGGUGAAGGAACUAGGCAAAAUGGUGCCGUAACUUCGGGAGAAGGCACGCUGACACGUAGGUGAAGUGAUUUACUCAUGGAGCUGAAGUCAGUCGAAGAUACCAGCUGGCUGCAACUGUUUAUUAAAAACACAGCACUGUGCAAACACGAAAGUGGACGUAUACGGUGUGACGCCUGCCCGGUGCCGGAAGGUUAAUUGAUGGGGUCAGCGCAAGCGAAGCUCCUGAUCGAAGCCCCGGUAAACGGCGGCCGUAACUAUAACGGUCCUAAGGUAGCGAAAUUCCUUGUCGGGUAAGUUCCGACCUGCACGAAUGGCGUAAUGAUGGCCAGGCUGUCUCCACCCGAGACUCAGUGAAAUUGAACUCGCUGUGAAGAUGCAGUGUACCCGCGGCAAGACGGAAAGACCCCGUGAACCUUUACUAUAGCUUGACACUGAACAUUGAGCCUUGAUGUGUAGGAUAGGUGGGAGGCUUUGAAGCGUGGACGCCAGUCUGCGUGGAGCCGACCUUGAAAUACCACCCUUUAAUGUUUGAUGUUCUAACGUGGACCCGU